GAUGAAGAACGCAGCGAAAUGCGAUAAGUAGUGUGAAUUGCAGAAUUCAGUGAAUCAUCGAAUCUUUGAACGCACAUUGCGCCCCAUGGUAUUCCGUGGGGCAUGCCUGUUCGAGCGUCAUUUACCCCCUCAAGCUCCGCUUGGUGUUGGGCGUCUGUCCCGCUUCGCGCGCGGACUCGCCCCAAAGGUAUUGGCAGCGGUCGUGCCAGCUUCUCGCGCAGCACAUUGCGCUUCUCGAGGCACCGGUGGGCCCGAGUCCAUCAAGCUCACCCCCCCAGUUUGACCUCGGAUCAGGUAGGGAUACCCGCUGAACUUAAGCAUAUCAAUAAGCGGAGGA
rnacentral:misc_RNA from 1 species